rnacentral:rRNA from 1 species
AUUGAACGCUGGCGGCAGGCCUAACACAUGCAAGUCGAGCGGCAGCGGGAAGUAGCUUGCUACUUUGCCGGCGAGCGGCGGACGGGUGAGUAAUGUCUGGGAAACUGCCUGAUGGAGGGGGAUAACUACUGGAAACGGUAGCUAAUACCGCAUAACGUCGCAAGACCAAAGAGGGGGACCUUCGGGCCUCUUGCCAUCAGAUGUGCCCAGAUGGGAUUAGCUAGUAGGUGGGGUAACGGCUCACCUAGGCGACGAUCCCUAGCUGGUCUGAGAGGAUGACCAGCCACACCGGAACUGAGACACGGUCCAGACUCCUACGGGAGGCAGCAGUGGGGAAUAUUGCACAAUGGGCGCAAGCCUGAUGCAGCCAUGCCGCGUGUAUGAAGAAGGCCUUCGGGUUGUAAAGUACUUUCAGCGGGGAGGAAGGUGUUGAGGUUAAUAACCUCAGCAAUUGACGUUACCCGCAGAAGAAGCACCGGCUAACUCCGUGCCAGCAGCCGCAGUAACAC